UACGUAGGGUGCAAGCGUUUAAUCGGAAUUACUGGGCGUAAAGCGUGCGCAGGCGGCUUUGCAAGACAGAUGUGAAAUCCCCGGGCUCAACCUGGGAACUGCAUUUGUGACUGCAUGGCUAGAGUACGGUAGAGGGGGAUGGAAUUCCGCGUGUAGCAGUGAAAUGCGUAGAUAUGCGGAGGAACACCGAUGGCGGAAGGCAACUC
rnacentral:rRNA from 1 species